rnacentral:lncRNA from 1 species
UUAUAACUGGCAUCUCUUACCUGGGUACAGAACACAGAGCAAGAGUAACUUCUCAGUUGAAGCCUGUCACAGUUAAAUAGAAAUGUCCUUGCAUAAAUGGAAGUCACUGUUUCAUGAGCCCUCUGGAAAUAUAAUUGGUAGCGUCCUCUCAGGGGAUGCAGCUCUUUGGUGGUGUCACAUGUUCCUCUUCCUAGAACAACAUCAAUGGAGCCACGUCACAUAGACUUAUGCUGGUGGGAAGGCCCGAUGUGAUGUGGCCAGUAGAGGCAUGCAAAGGGCUUUGAGCUCCUGCACGCUCCCUCCUCCAUAGGACCUGGGACAGACUCCUUUUCCCCCAGAUCCUCCCCUGGCCUCAGUUCUGGAAUGGGUCUCUAUGCUUCAAGAUAUUUAAUGCCACCGACGCAGGCCUUGGCCUUGCCAUCCUCUUGCCUUAGUCUCUCAGCUGGCACUACAGGUAUGCAAUGCUGGCCAUGGGUGUAAUGACAUUCAGGCCCACUGCUCCGUCUGCAGGAGUGUAGUAAGGCACAGACCGUCCACUGGUAACUUACAGGGCUGGCACAUCAAGCUGUGAUUUAGAGUUUGAACAAGUUUUGGAAAAUAAAAACAAAACCAGCUCCAAGGUCACAUUUUUCUACGGAGGGAGGAAGUCUGGGUAUGCAUACAUGCCACACUAUCCAGAUGGGCCUUAGGAACUCUUGUGGUGUUGUGAAGAGGCAGUUUGCCCACCAGCAGACCACUGCUCUAAUACAUCAAGAAAUCCUCAGACCGUGCAACUCCACAGGAUGAUUCGUCAAGGCUGUGUUCUGGAGCUGGGACCUGGGGCGGAAACUACGGGAGCCAGCCAGAGCCGCACUGUACUGAUAGACGCAUGGAAGGACUAGUCUGCCUGACAGUAUUGAACUCCCUUUUGCUAGUGACAAAAUAAAUGUAUAUUUUUGAGAUGCC